GUAGAUAUAGUUUAACAAAAACAUUAGAUUGUGA
rnacentral:tRNA from 1 species